ensembl:lncRNA
GGACACUUUAAAAUGAACCUCUGCUGUUGAUGCUGAUACUGUGAUGUCUGUCUUCCUGUAACCAAAACAUCACUUUUCACAAGUGAAAGUAGCAGUUCCUCCUGAAGGUCAGAGAUUGCAGCAUCUGAGGGCCUCUUCAAAAGAAGACGGAGUUGAUGAAGGCGUUCUGGAGCAGGACCAGAAAGACCACGACCAAGCAGCCUUGAGAUCUUAGGCAGCGUCUCCCUCAGGUCCCUCUCUAUCUCCCCACACAUCCACCAACCACUGGAACACAUCUCCAAAGUUCUGCUGGACCAGCUCAGCUUCCCCUCAGAAGAAGUGCUGCCACCUGCCAGAUGAAGGAGCCUUUUGAGAGGCAGCUGGCAUCGUGAUUGGACUGUACUUUGGUCUGUUCCAAUCCAGCUUCAGCUCCAGAGACGGCAGGCGGGACGAGUCAACGGAGGCCUGGUGGACGAAGGCAUGAAGCUGAGUACAAUCCAGAAAACAACAGAGGAGGAGUGCAGCAGCCCAGAGCCAGAACAACCAGAGUAGCAUCACCAAAGAACUACAGACUCUUCACAACCUGCUCAAACUCUUGGUACAGGACCUCACCACACGGGUCAAGAAGGUUUCCGUCUCAUUUCUACUCUGAAGAUCACCUUCUCCUGCUCAAACUGCUGACAAAUGUUUCUGCUGCUCUAAAGUCUGGUCUCCAGAACUUCCUAAAAACUCUCAAAGUCUCUUCUGCUGCAGGUUGCUUUGUAGAACUGUUGCAGAAAAC